GAGCGAACGCUGGCGGCAGGCCUAACACAUGCAAGUCGAACGAUCCUUCGGGAUAGUGGCGGACGGGUGAGUAACACGUGGGAACGUGCCCUUUGGUUCGGAAUAACUCAGGGAAACUUGAGCUAAUACCGGAUGAGCCCUUCGGGGGAAAGAUUUAUCGCCAUUGGAGCGGCCCGCGUUGGAUUAGCUAGUUGGUGGGGUAAAGGCCCACCAAGGCUACGAUCCAUAGCUGGUCUGAGAGGAUGAUCAGCCACACUGGGACUGAGACACGGCCCAGACUCCUACGGGAGGCAGCAGUGGGGAAUCUUGCGCAAUGGGCGAAAGCCUGACGCAGCCAUGCCGCGUGAAUGAUGAAGGUCUUAGGAUUGUAAAAUUCUUUCACCGGGGACGAUAAUGACGGUACCCGGAGAAGAAGCCCCGGCUAACUUCGU
rnacentral:rRNA from 1 species